rnacentral:rRNA from 1 species
CCUACGGGAGGCAGCAGUGAGGAAUAUUGGUCAAUGGACGAGAGUCUGAACCAGCCAAGUCGCGUGAAGGAAGAAGGAUCUAUGGUUCGUAAACUUCUUUUGCAGGGGAAUAAAGUGCAGGACGUGUCCUGUUUUGUAUGUACCCUAAGAAUAAGGAUCGGCUAACUCCGUGCCAGCAGCCGCGGUAAU